ensembl:lncRNA
AAAACCCCAAUAAAGGCCCUGUAGACUCGGGCUUUCCUUUUUGUUUUCUUCUACCAUCUGACCCAAAUCUUGUGCUUCCAAAAAUGUUCUGCAUCACAUGCUGUGGCCCCUUCUCUGUGACCUUUCCGUCAACAGAAAUCUUAGAGGCAGAGAGAGCAAAACCUGAUACACAGCCCUGGAAUCACUGGAAUCAGAGAUGUCAGAAGAUCUUUCCAGAAAGAUUUAUCUGGCCAGAGCAGCUCUAUUUCUCAGUUAUCUUCAAGACACUAAGUAUCUCUGGAAAAUGCCAUGUUACUCUUGUUUCAAGGUUUUUCACAGCUGGUUGUUACAUUGGAUACCCUGGUGCCAAAUGUCUCCUCCUAGCUUGUAGCACAGUCCUCAAAUUCACUCACGUCAUGGUGAAAUAUAUGAAUGGACACUGAAACUCAGGAUCACAGUAGACUGGGAAGGGCAGCAAGCAUGCAUUUGCAAUGCCAAGGCUUUCUUCCAAGAACCAUUCCCUCUAUCUAUCAUUUUAAAAAUAAAUGUAUAGCAUAGAUAAUAUAGUCUUGUCUUCAUAAAAACUUUCUGUUAGUCUAUCCAAAUAAAUGUAUAAAAUAUACUUGGCUAACAAUGACAUCUACUCUUAUUUUUGAGAGUUAGAAUUAAGGCAGAUUUUAAAAACUUAUUCUGUAAGUUCCUGACAUUGUCUCAAUUAUUAAAAUAAUCAUAUAAGCUAAAAAAUAACAUUUUUGCCAAGUAUCUUAAGAAACGAAAAUAUGUUUUCUCUAAAAACACAGAUUUAACAUAAUUCUCUUGUAGAUAAUGACCUUAAACCCAUACGUACAAGAUAUUCUGGACAUACAAUAGUUCACCUUAUAAUUUCUUAGAAAUUUGACAGAAUUAAACAUUAUUUUCAAAAAUUUUAUGUUAAAACACUCUAUCUUAUGUACAUCAUGAAUUUCUAUGCAAAGAUCUCAUCAGCAAAAUGAACUGCAUUUCAAAUUAAGCAUAGCAUGAACCUCUCUUUAAAAAGAAAAACUUUUAUAUAAAAAGUUAAAAUCUGAUGCUGCUAAAAUAAGUUUCUGUUUAACUCACAAUAUGUCUAAGUCAAAAUAAUCCAUAUUAUCUAAUCAGUUUUCCAUUCAGUAUGAACCUUCAUGAUCGCUUUACAAUAUAUACUUUUGGAAGGAAGUAAAUGUUUUGUCAAUUAACUACAAAUUCUAUAUGCCUGAAAGAUCAAGGGCUUAUCUACAUUUGCACCUAUAUAAAAGACCAAAUUUUUUCUAUUAUAAACUAUACUUGCUCUUCAUGCUUAAUCAGUGCACAUAUAAAAAGGCAUGAAGUAUCCAAUUCUCUGCACACAAUUUUCAGAAGCUAAGGUGAAUUGGCUGUCCUGUGUCUUUGACUCAAAUUAAUAACUAAGAGAGUUCUUGAAAAUAAAAUAUGUUUAGUCAUCUUUAAUCAAGUGAAUAAAUUGACUAAUAAGAAGGGCCCAGUGAUCACUCUCUGGAGAAAUACAUUAAUUCAUGUAUACACUUGAGCCUUUCACCCAGAAAGAGGUCAUUUAUACUCUCUGUACUGAUUGCUAUGUUAAGUGCAUUUUGGGCUGGGUAAACAUUCAACUUGCUUCAUAAAAUGAUGGUUUAGGUCCCUGGAUAACUGUUAAGAUUGCAAACACCAAAUGAGUAUGUGAGAGACUUUCUGUUUUAAAACAAAAUAAGCAGGUUAUAAAAUGCUUAGCAUUUUUUUCUAGUUCAGGAUGUGAGUUUAUUGACAUGAAGUUUUAUUUUCAAAAGCAACAGACAUAACAUAUAAAAAAUAAAAUACAUUGUAUUAUAUUCCUUUUGAUUUAAGUAUUUUAUAAUUUACAACAAUAUUCAUAAUACAACCUAAACAGACAAAGAGUUUUAGACAGGCAAUCAUGUAAUGUGUCAGAGUUAGACUACAAAAAAUUCUCUAUAAAAGGGAAAAAAGAUGUUUUACUUUUUUUGAUUAUUUGUCAUAAUAUAACAAUUUUACAAAAGUGGUGCAUUCAAACUUAAAAGCUGUAAGAUUCAAAUCCAUUCAAAUUAAACAAAGAGAAAAGAAUAUAAAUCUUGAACAAAGUACUUAGAUGUGUGUUAAAACCACAAUGCCCUAGGGACAACUCAAAUGAAAAACAUAACACUGCUCAUCUCAAGUCACAGCCACAGCCUGCAUAUAGGAUAAGUUUUGCUCUCAUUCUACAAUAUACUUAAUAGUCCAGCACUUAGUCUUUGCUCUUUCUAAACAAUACAUUCCAUAGGAUCUUGGGAUGUGAAAGCCAUAUAUUUCCAGCUUUCCACAGGACUGUCAGGCAGGCUUCAGGCACAUUUUUUGCCUUUUUUAAGUUGAUAAGAAAAAAAGGACUAUUUAUAUUUUUAUUUUUUAUGAAAAAUUCCUAUUUUUCACAAAUAGGAAAAAUGAGUUGUAAUCGUGGAAUCUAACUUACUUAGGUUCACGCAAAUGAUAUGGCACAAGAAUAUUCAGCUUUAAAGUUCGCACCCUUAUAACAACUAUACGAAACUGAACAAUAUGUGAGUGUAAUUAAUAUGUCAUGACUACAUGUGUCUAUACUGGGACACACUGUUUCCAUUAUUUCUGUAUCAGACAGAGGUUUUAUUUCAUAUGAACCCAAGAUGUGAGUCUUUUAAUUUCAGAAGUUAAGUAGAGGACAAAUUUUGUAUUAUUCACAUUGAGGUAAUAUUUACAUUCUAAGAACAGCUGAGAGGAUGGAGAGAGAGUAUGUGCAUACAGAAAAGAAAGGAGCAUAAAGUGUAACCUUAGUAAAUGUCCGUGUAUGAGAGUAACAGAAUGAGAAUUGUAAAUAUCUAAGUUAGAAGAAAAUCAAAGCAGAAAACCAGGUGCCAUAUAACCAAAUCAAGGAAAAUUGAAGCAUUAAAAUGUCAUUAAUAGCGUGAACCUGGGAGGCGGAGCUUGCAGUGAGCUGAGAUCCGGCCACUGCACUCCAGCCUGGGCGACAGAGGGAGACUCCGUCUCAAAAAAAAAAAAAAAAAAAAAAAAAGUCAUUAAUGAUGAAAAAAGAGAGGUCAACAGUGAGAAAGAAUGACUGGCAAGGAAAAGACAGAGUAUGGAUUCCUCAAGAUGAGGAUACAGAGCAAGUACAGAGCCAAGCAGAAAUUCUUCUGGACAGGAGAGAAGCAAGGGAUAAUAUGACAAAAUUUACUCAUAUAUUUGUUAUUUGCAAAAAAUAUCCCAGGUAGAAAAUGUGAUGGAAAUAAUGAUGAAAAGAGUUUUCGGGUAGAAUUACCUCAUAGGAAAUGAUGCCAAUCAUUAAUUUAAGAGACAACGAAGAUCUAAAUAAAACAAUGUGCAUAAAAUAGGAAAGCUUGAUGUUUGAAGUAAUUCAGAUUUCUGGAUAGGAGAUUUAGUUUUGUUGUUUACUAAAUAAUAUCUCAAAUUUUGAAAUUAAGAGACAUGGCUCUUUCCUUCCACCUAAUUCUCAAAAAUUGAUGUAAAUAGUGCUACAACAAUAGUUAUGUGUGUUAGUAGCAUGAUAACCUAGUAGACUUAAAAAGGAACUUAUUG